AGGACGGUUCGAUUAGUUCUUUGAUUGACAACAUUUUAUUAGGAGUACAUGAUAUAGAUAAUGUGAAUGCUGUGUUUUACACACAUACAAUAUUCUUAAUGCGUCGGAUCAUCUGUCUGUGUCCUUAAAAUUCUGUUGUGCUUCAAAAAACAUAGAAGCAUUUUGUCGUCAAAGGCCGUUAAAUUGAGAAAAGUGUCCCCCGAGCAAAGUCUCUACAUCGUUAUUAACUUAAGUUACGAAUUGUCAAAGACAGGUAAAAUAAAAUAUUAAUCAGCAAAACAAGACUGAGACUCUGCAUAUGGGUAUAAGACGUGUGAUGGCGGACGUAACCAAACUGACCUGGGUUCGACAACAGGUCGGACUUGAACAGAUGUGACCAAUCCCAAUAAAACGAGGUUUUCUUGUUACUGCGGUUUCUCCCCAUAUUAAGAUUAUCUGCAAACUACCAUCUGUGCAAACAAAGGCGAUUGAUAUGUGGAUAUAACGUGUUUUAUAUUUGCUGUUUAACAAGUUUAAUAUUUUAAUGCCUCAUCUAUAUUCGAGAUGACAUGAUUUUUGUGCCAAGAACAAAACACAGUAGAGCGGUCCUCUUUAUUUUCUACUACAUGUUUUGGGCAUAAGUAAGACAGAUAAUCCGUGACGAAUCAUGUACUUUUGAGACAGGCGUGCGAAUAAGCUGUCAUUAAAAAGAUAAAUGACAAUGUGAUUCACGUUUUAAAACCACCUAUAGGCUUUAAAUGAUAAAUGGUUGUAAUUAUUUGCAUUCGCUUUCCUAUAAAACCCGAGAUGUUUAUUACAGUCAACAACGGAUGCAGUAAUGCUUAAGAUGAACAAACAACUUGUUACCACGAUGAUCUUGGUGUGUUUUAUUCAUGUUUGUCUAGGAAUUAUGUUUGUCGAUGGACAACUGGGAUGCGUAUGUAGGAGACGUUGUUCACCGUUCGAGACUAUCGUUACGGACUGUUUUUCCGGAGAUACCACUUUUAAGAGGUGUUGUCAUCCCUGGAAUUGAUGAUAAGAUCUUUGGAAAUGCCGCAACAGAAUAUCAUGGAUUACCAAAUGUGUAUACGAUCGGAUUGAAAUAGCAUCAUUAUAUACGUUAAUUAAUGAAGAAUUCUCUAAACGCGACGUUCCAUCAACAAACAAAUAUGAAAGUUAUUGACUUGUGGUGCUUGAAGUGACGAAAGUUGCAUUUAUUUAAAAACAAAACGGUCAAAAGAUCAAUUCAGUUUCGGUUAUAAUCAAUAAAAGCAAGUGGAAUCAACAACAAGAAGUAAAACCCCCAAAAACGACGAUGCCUUUAAUUCAAAUUCAAAUAGUAUAUGUAUUGACUCUUUUCAAGUGAUUCGAAAACACGCGAUGGAAUUAAUUUUGCAAAAUCGCGAUUACUUGUGUCAAAUCAACAUAAUAACAUUACAAAUAAAAUAUCGAAGGAAUACGGAA